rnacentral:rRNA from 1 species
UACAGAGGUGGCAAGCGUUGUUCGGAAUUACUGGGCGUAAAGGGCGCGUAGGCGGGAUGGCAAGUCGGUCGUGAAAGCCUUCGGCUCAACCGAAGAACGUCGGCCGAUACUGCCGUUCUUGAGGGAUGCAGAGGAGACUGGAAUUCCCGGUGUAGCGGUGAAAUGUGUAGAGAUCGGGAGGAACACCGGUGGCGAAGGCGGGUCUCUGGGCAUCUCCUGACGCUGAGGCGCGAAAGCGUGGGGAGCAAACGGG